rnacentral:rRNA from 1 species
UAGGGAAUCUUCCACAAUGGACGCAAGUCUGAUGGAGCAACGCCGCGUGAGUGAAGAAGGUUUUCGGAUCGUAAAGCUCUGUUGUUGGUGAAGAAGGAUAGAGGCAGUAACUGGUCUUUAUUUGACGGUAAUCAACCAGAAAGUCACGGCUAACUACGUGCCAGCAGCCGCGGUAAUACGUAGGUGGCAAGCGUUGUCCGGAUUUAUUGGGCGUAAAGCGAGCGCAGGCGGAAUGAUAAGUCUGAUGUGAAAGCCCACGGCUCAACCGUGGAACUGCAUCGGAAACUGACAUUCUUGAGUGCAGAAGAGGAGAGUGGAAUUCCAUGUGUAGCGGUGGAAUGCGUAGAUAUAUGGAAGAACACCAGUGGCGAAGGCGGCUCUCUGGUCUGCAACUGACGCUGAGGCUCGAAAGCAUGGGUAGCGAACAGG